UUUAUAUCUUUAUGUUUGAAGCCUGAAAUGUGGCAAAAGGUCGCAAAGUUCAAGGGGGCCGAAUACUUUCGCAAGGCACUGUAUGUCCUAGAGAAUAGGGUUCUAUUUGGGACUACGACUGUAGCUUUAUAUAUAUGUCCCAGAGAAUAGGGUUCUAUUUGGGACUAUGACUGUAGCUUUAUAUAUAUGUCCUAGAGAAUAGGGUUCCAUUUGGGACUACGACUGACUCUUUAUAUGUCCUAGAGAUAGGGUUCCAUUUUGGACUACGACUGUAGCUUUAUAUGUCCUAGAGAAUUGGGUUCUAUUUGGGACUACGACUGACUGUAGCUUUAUAUAUAUUUCCUAGUGAAUAGGGUUCCAUUUGGGACUAUGACUGUAGCUUCAUAUGUUCUAGAGAAUAGGGUUCCAUUUGGGACUAUGACUGUAGCUUUAUAUGUUCUAGUGAAUAGGGUUCCAUUUGGGACUAUGACUGUAGCUUUAUAUAUAAACAUAUACUACCGUUCAAAAGGUUGGGGUCACUUAGAAAUGUCCUUUUAGAAGGAAAAGCACAUUUUGUCUAUUAAAAUAACAUCAAAUUCAUCAUAAAUACAGUGUAGACAUGGUUAAAUGUUGUAAAUGACUAUUGUAGCUGGAAACAGCUAAUUUUGUAUGGAUUAUCUACAUAGGUGUACAGAGGCCCAUUAUCAGCAACCAUCUGUCCAGAUGCAUCUGCACAAUGUGUACCUGAAUACCUCCGGGGGUAGGCAGGAAGAUCUGAUCGCAACGUGUCCUUUAAUUGUCUACACCCGGUCUUAAAAUGUGGUCACAAUCAGAAUGUGGACCAGAUCAGGACAAAAGGAUGCAUGUUAGAACCUGGUAUAAAACAGAUUUUUAGAAACAUCCUAAAUGUAUAAACAAGUCAGCUUGUAAAUGCUGGGGGGGGGGUAUCUAACAAAUCAGGGUCAACACAUUCUGAAAUCAAUUCAAGAAAUAUAGCCUUGAAAUUGGCACCAUGUUUCAACACUCAGCAACGAACCCAUAUUAAUAAUAUUAUAGAAUAAUAAAACUACUACAUGUUAUUAUAUGCCAUUAACACUUUACACCCAAAUACAGGUUGAAAUUGGAACGCAAUGGCUGUUCAGUAACAUGUCAUCAAUGUGGCCUAAAGUACAGAAAAAUAUCAAAUCAACAGUAAUGUUUGGAUUCAGUCUUGUGUCAGGUGAACUGUUGUGUGCUCAACAUUUUCUUUCAAUUGCUACCAUGCUGUUCAUAUUUAAAUCUGUAAGACAUUUCCAUUUUACCCUAGGCCUGGUGUGAUUGGUUGAUGGAUAGGUCCUUCAACCCCGAGGCCUAGGGUGAUUGGUCGCUCGAGGGCUGGUGUAUCUCCUACAUGUGUUUUCAUGUGUUUCACCAGGCACCUAUGAUAGGAGAACCUCUCACCACAUGGAUCACACCUAUAGGGCUUCUCUCCUGUAUGUGUUCUCAUGUGUGUAGCCAGAGUAUCUGACCUGGGAAACCUCUUCCCACACUGACCACAGCUGUAAGGCUUCUCCCCAGUGUGUGUAAGCUGGUGCUUCUUCAGUGCCCCGGAGCGAGCAAAGCUCUUCCCGCACUCAGAGCAGUGGUAAGGUUUUUCCCCGGUGUGCGAGCGCUGGUGUAGAGUCAGGCUUCCCGAUUCGGCAAAGCUCUUCCCACACUGGUCACAGACGUACGGUUUCUCUCCUGUGUGUGUCCGCUGGUGUGUUUUGAGCUGAGUCAGGGUAAGGAAGUUCUUGGGACAGUCGGUGCAUUGGUGAGUCUUCUCCCCGUUGUGUGUUCUCAUGUGUGCAUUGUAGAUGUCUAGAGAGUAGUAGCCCUUACCACACUGCGGGCAAAGGUGAGACCUCACUUUAGCAUGCGUCUGUUGGUGUACUUUCAGGUGGCCCAUUUGGGAGAAACUCCUCCUGCACUGGGAGCAUUGGUAAGGCUUCUCUCCGGUGUGAGUCCGCUGGUGUGCCUUAAACGUGGCCCUGUGGCUGAAUGUCUUCCCACAGUGGGAGCACUGGAAA
ensembl:lncRNA